UAUUAAUCUUGUCAAAAGCCAAAAAUACAUCUGGAUCUAAAUAAAAAAGCAAGAUUACUAGGAGGCUCAUACUGGGAAACAAGUAACAAGUCCAAAGAAACAACUCAAACUAAAUCUAGCCAAAAUUCAACUCACUAAGUAAAACUUUCCCAACCUAGAACCCCUAAAUUUACAGGAGAACUCUAAUCCAAAACUACCCGCCGCCGACCACCACUAAGAGGCUUGCCAUCAAUAUAAGUUAACAAUGAUCGAAGCCAACAGACAUUGCUAACAUCAACCUAACGUCAACCAUCAUUGCGCAACAAUCUAAAACAAUAUUAGUCUUCCACCGUCCUCGAUAGGCCAUGAAGCACUGCUAUGCAGCGACAAGAGGGAGCUGUCAUAGAAGCUCUCUGGCACUCGAUGCCAUCGGAAAGACCUUUACAGCCGUAGUGUAGAAGCAAAACUCAGAUAUGCAGCACAGUCAAUGCAAGUGAGCCCUCUCGUCACUCAGAGCCAUCCUUUUAGACCCAAACAACUACAAUCCCAACAACAGCCAUCGGACUUCAAACUGCCUAUCUAAACACAAACCCAAAAAUCCACAACCAUACAAGCAGGUCUACUUUGAAAGCCCUCUCAAAUUGCCCCAACCUGCAAGAAAACAGUACCUAAAAACAACAAUUUACUCUCAACCUAAUUGGGGGAGGGCUUCAACCACAACUAGGCGAGGAAGAUCCAUCAUCUUCCUCUUCUCCCAAGGGCAGAGGAAGCCUUUGGGACACAAAAAGCCCGAUUGUUCUGAGAGAUCAACUAAACUUGAAGAAAUAGUGAAAACAGAUAAGAUUGGUGUGUGUUUUUAUUAAUGGUAACACUGAAUUAUACGGCGGAUAUAUAUG
rnacentral:misc_RNA from 1 species